rnacentral:misc_RNA from 1 species
CCUCCUUAUACGAUUUAGAACUUAUUUGUUCGUAGUGUCCACACAGAUGAUUGUUAGUUAGUUUCACCUUUGGGUUUAACUGAUUAAUAUGCUCUUUAAAAAUUUGGAAAAGCUGAUAAUAAAAUUCGUAUGAAUACAGUGUAUUUGUACAGAGUUUUCAAAAGUAAAAAAGAAUGAUAGCAGUAUCAUUCAGUGCCAUUUAAUAAACGUUUCGUUUGUUGAUUGGUAUCUACUUUAGUAUUCAAUAUUAACUUCUGGCGAAGUUAAACUGUCACAAAACAAAGACCCGUUUGGGUUGUAUGGUUAAGUGACUAAGCGUACACGGUGGAUGCCUUGGCAGUUGGAGGCGAUGAAGGACGUAUUAACUUGCGAUAAGCCUAGUCAAGCUAGUAAAAAGCACUUGAGACUAGGAUUUCCGAAUGGA